AGCUUCCCGUUCGGGGCAGAGUGACAGGUGGUGCAUGGUUGUCGUCAGCUCGUGUCGUGAGAUGUUGGGUUAAGUCCCGCAACGAGCGCAACCUUACGUUAGUUGCCAUCAUUAAGUUGGCGACUCUAGACUGACUGCCGGUGACAACCGGAGGAAGGUGGGACGACGUACAAAUCAUCAUCGACCCCUUAUGUAGUUUGGGCUACACACGUGCUACAAGUGACGAGUUAACGAAAGGGCAGACAACGCCGCGGACGGACCAAGACGAACUCCCAAAUAAAACUUGUUCUCUAGGUCGGUAGUUGGAGUCUGACAACUCCCGAACCCCAUAGGAAGCGUAGGAAUCGCUAAGUAAUCGUAGAUCAGCAUGCUACGUGAAUACGUUCCCGGGUCUUGUACACACCGCCCGUCACACCACGGAAGUCGAUAACACCUGAAGCCGGUGGGCCAACCAUUUAUGGAGGCAGCCGUCGAAGGUGGGAUGGAUGACUGGGGUGAAGUCGAAACAAGGUAGCCGUAUCGGAGGGUGCGGC
rnacentral:rRNA from 1 species